rnacentral:rRNA from 1 species
UACGUAGGGUGCAAGCGUUGUCCGGAAUCAUUGGGCGUAAAGCGCGCGUAGGUGGCUUUGUAAGUCCGUUGUGAAAGUCAGAGGCUCAACCUUUGAAUGCCGAUGGAUACUGCAGAGCUAGAGUACGGAAGAGGCGAGUGGAAUUCCUGGUGUAGCGGUGGAAUGCGCAGAUAUCAGGAAGAACACCCGUGGCGAAGGCGGUUCUCUGGGAUGGUACUGACGCUGAGACGCGAAAGCGUGGGGAGCGAACAGG